rnacentral:lncRNA from 1 species
ACGAGUUGUACCACGAUACACUGAAGUUAAGGAAUAAACAAGACAUUGUGUUCGGGACAAGAAUUUUCAGUAUUCCACCAUUGACGUAGUUAUAGAUGCAGUAAGCGACUACAGACAGUAUAUACACAGAUUGCUACUCAGGGACUGAAAUGUGAGGCUCUGCGCGUGUCUGGAAUGUCUCGCCGAGGUCUUGCGGGACACGCCAGCCCAGCCAAGCGAUCCAUUUCAUUUAUACACUGCAAAGAAUGAGUCAUUGUUCAGGGCAUGGCGUGAAAACUGCUGUGCGUCUGUGAGUGAAGAUUAACUGUGAAAAUGACCUUGGUGUAAUUGGAUUGCCUGAGGUAAUGGGUUAGUCAAUCUAUAAGGAAAUGGCAAGAUGAGUGAAUUAAUGACUGUUGUGGGUUUAAUUAGUGAGUCUUAUAUAAAACAAUGAAAGAAUAGCAAAGCAAUGACCAGAGUAGAAAAAUGAAUGGGGGAGUAAUGAUGCUGCUGUUGUUGUGAGGGUGCUUAUAUUACCAGGUUAAUGAAUGUGAUAGAAAAAGAAUGGAAGGAAAGACGGGGAAUUAAAAUAAUGAUCUUGUGGUGGUUUGUUACUCGUAGUGAUACUGUCAAUGGUCUGGUAGAAAAAGAAUAAGAAGAAACGCGCGUAAUAAAUCUUUCUAGGUUGUGAUUGAAGUUAGUGUGUUAAAUAGACGGUGUUAGAGAUUUGAAAGAGAUAAGGGGCGACGUAGCGACUUUCUUGUUUUGGUUUAUCAGGAUACUAUAGCUUUUAUUGAUUAGUCUAAUAGAGGAAAAAUAAAAGAAAGCAACGAAUUAUUGACUACGGUUUUGUUGUGCUGAAGUGAAUAGGUUAAUCAGGCUGUCCGAUAGAUAAAAGAUCAAAGAAAAGGCGUUAAAGACCAAAUGGCCGUGUUGGUAUUGUGGUGUUUGAGUUAGUGCGGACUCGUCAGUCAAUCCAACAAAUAAAGAAUUAAACGAACAUUGAAGUAGUGACCUUGUUGUUGUUGUUGUUGUUGUUGUUGUUGUUGUUAAGUUAAUUGGGGAUAAAUCUCUAGAUAUAAAGAAGAAAGUUUGCGAAUUAAUGUGUUGUUUGAAGUUAAUGUGGUAAUUAAUUAGUUUAAUAAAGAAAACACUGAAAGAUUGAUAUUAGCGGCGAAAACAUAAUUUGUUGGAAAUAGCACAAUAAUGAGUAAUAAUGUUCAAAUCAAUGACACUGAAAAGAGAGAAGCCAGAGAAACUUGGUAACUUUCAGCUAAAUUGUGUCGGUUCUGAGACAGAGAAGCAGUACUGAAUAAUGUUAGUAAGUUGAAGAGAACCAGAGUAUUUGUGAACGAUGACCUGUGCCAUGCUUCUCAUAAUGUUCUCAAAGCACAACAUUCUGCACUAAAGCAGGCCGGAAGGGAGAACAUCGCGUGUUUCCGCCACACGAGAUUGAUGAUUGAGGAGAGGCAUGUCUCGGAACAAACCAAUGAACCACACGGAUGAAGCGGAGGAGCAUGGGCGCUGCAGUUGAGGGACAUCACCCGUUGGCGUAGGUGGUGGCGGCGAGAGUGGCCCGUCAAGUGCAGCUGCUACUUCCCCCCCCCAACCUCCAGUAGUGCCCCGUCUGGCAGUCAUCCUUCUGCUGGUGUCCCAUGUGCUCCUGAUAUGCAUCACUCUGGUGGUGUGGCCGCCGCUGAUCUUCCCGCUGACGUAGGCGCUCUCGUCUCCUUGGGCCAGUGGGAAAAGGCUCCAAGUGGCAGCGGUGUCCCAGGCAGCGGGAGUAGUGUUGUAUUGCAAGGAUGUGCCACCAACCAGUUCAGAUUGCACAGAGGAGCAGGAAACCAGCCCUGCCUGUGAGAGUGUAAUGCAUGCCUGCCCUGCUUAGGCAACUCUGUGGUGGGUUGGUGUACGUGUGUGUCUCCAUCAAAAAGUGACUAAAUGAAAGUUGUAGAAAUUGAAGAGGAAGGAAAAAGUAAAGUUGUGGAUGACACUACUGAACCUCACCACAAACCUGAGGAGAUGUCUAAACUGAUUUACCUGGAUAAGUGUUGUUGGUUGUAACACCAUAACAGAUAAAUGAUUGAAUCCAAAUUUCUAGUACUCAUAGUAAAUAUUUUGAUAUUGCAAAUAAAAAAAGUGUGCCCAAAUCUUUAUAUUUAUCUUGUAUCUUGCAAAGUUAGAGACAAUUUUUGAAAAAAAAAACUUGAAUGUUGAUCCUGUCUUUUCACAUAUAAAAAAUAGUUUUAAAUAAAAAUAACUACAUUUGAUUUCAAAAGUUAUGACCAGCAUGCUCCUGUUCCAAAAUGUAAAAUAAUUGAUCAUAGGUAGUUUGGAACUAAAAGUAUUGGCAAUACUGAUGAAAUAACAUAUAAAAAAAUUAUUGGAUAACUGAUAGCCUGAUGAUGUUUGCAUGUGUGUAUGUAUGUGUAUUUACCUAGUUGUGUUUACCUACUAGUUGUAUUGUAUAGGAGGGGAGUUAUGCUUGUGCUGUUCCAUCUUUGUAUCUUUUAGUGUCUAACAAGGUCUUUAAAUCAUGUAUCAUCUUUGCACACACUACCGCUUUGUCCAGUUCAUUCCAUGUGUCAACUACCCUGUGGGGAAACUGGUCUUCUUGACAUUUCAUUUGUAAUUAUCUUUUGAGUUUGUUUUCAUGGCCUCUAGGAUCCCUUGUAUUCCAUUUUAUUAAAUCUUCCCAAUCAA